UUCUACAUGUUCUUCUUCAUGGACAGAUGGACUCAUCAUGCAUUAGAAGGUCACUACACAACCUCUGUUUGUUCUCUGCCAUACAAUCUUCUUUCGCGUGUUCUUCUAUCCUCUCUAUUGUUUGCAAGAAGCUCUUCACCAUGAAAGUUCACCUUACAGCACUACCAGUUGUUCAAUGCAAAAAAAUGCAACCUUGCUUUAAAUCUGUUCAAAGUGGAUAGAUCUAGUGUAUAGCUACAAACCGUAUGAAUCCAUCCGAUAUAAACCGUAACCCGUUCAAACCGUACCUGUCAAAACCGAACACUAAAAUGGGUCGAAGUGGAUGUCGUAUCUCCAACCGAAGUUUGGGCCGGGUGGAGCUUUCGGGCCCGAACCCGUCCGACCCGGCCCGUUGUC
rnacentral:lncRNA from 1 species